rnacentral:rRNA from 1 species
GCCUACGGGAGGCAGCAGUGAGGAAUAUUGGUCAAUGGGCGGGAGCCUGAACCAGCCAAGCCGCGUGAGGGAAGAAGGUACAGCGUAUCGUAAACCUCUUUUGUCAGGGAACAAAGGCGGGGACUAGUCCCCGGAUGAGGGUACCUGAAGAAAAAGCAUCGGCUAACUCCGUGCCAGCAGCCGCGGUAAUACGGAGGAUGCGAGCGUUAUCCGGACUUAUUGGGUUUAAAGGGUGCGCAGGCGGUCUGUUAAGUCAGCGGUCAAAGCCCGGGGCUCAACCCCGGCCCGCCGUUGAAACUGGCAGU